GGAGGACAGGUAGGUGUGUGUGUGUGUGUGUGUGUGUACACACACACACCUACCUGUCCUCCUC